GGUUAUGUAGAAUGUAGAACCAUAGUAACAAGACAGCUUUUCUUGGUUGUUUUGAAUCAUGGCUGUGAAGUGUUGUAACACACGUACUUGAAGGACUAAAGAUGAGAGGAUGUGAUGAAGUCACCUUGCGGUCUGUAUCCUUACAGGAUUCACUUCAGCAAUGUACCAUGUGAUCAAAAAGCGGAGAACAAAAUCCCCAAGCAUCUUAGAGAACCAUCUAAGACAGAAAGGUACUAAGAUAUGUUUCUGUAACUCAGUGUAUCCUAUAUGGCCAUCUGCGAAGUGGUGGAUUCCAGAUUCGAAGAAAGCCAUAGAAGAGGGGAGCAAAGUCAAGAAUCAGAUGCCACAAACACGACCGUAAAGAGCUGGCUAAGGACAGAGUGUGGAGUGAACUGGCAGCGGUCCCCGUGCUGGCUGCUGCCACCAAUCUUCUGUGGUGGAUGCCGCCUCAUCAGAAAUACCUUCCAGCCUGUGGCCACCCGACCCUGAAUGUACCCAGCCUCUUGAGAGGCUCUUGCCAGUAAUAACCCACCAGAGAACACACUGUCUAUUAGUUUUUAAAGCAUUUUUAUAAAAUGAUUUUGUACAUGUAGGGUAUGAAUGAGCAGUUUAUAAGCCACGUGAUGACUGAUAAUGUCUAUAGAGUAUCUCUGUAGUAAAAUAUGAAAAAACUUCC
rnacentral:lncRNA from 1 species